GACGAACGCUGGCGGCGUGCCUAACACAUGCAAGUCGAACGGGGACUUAAUGGAAUGCGGCUUCGGCCAAAGGAAGUUAAGUUUAGUGGCGAACGGGUGAGUAACGCGUGAGGAACCUGCCUUUCAGUGGGGGACAACAGUUGGAAACGACUGCUAAUACCGCAUAACAUAUUUAGGGGGCAUCCCCUGAAUAUCAAAGCUUUAUGUGCUGAAAGAUGGCCUCGCGUCUGAUUAGAUAGUUGGUGGGGUAGCGGCCUACCAAGUCGACGAUCAGUAGCCGGUCUGAGAGGAUGAACGGCCACAUUGGGACUGAGAUACGGCCCAG
rnacentral:rRNA from 1 species